GAUGAAGAACGCAGCGAAAUGCGAUAAGUAAUGUGAAUUGCAGAAUUCAGUGAAUCAUCGAAUCUUUGAACGCACAUUGCGCCCCUCGGUAUUCCGAGGGGCAUGCCUGUUCGAGCGUCAUUAUAACCCUUCAAGCUCAGCUUGGUGUUGGGGCCUGCUGUAACUGGUAGCCCUUAAAAUCAGUGGCAGUGCUAUUAGGCUCUAAGCGUAGUAAUUCUUCUCGCUAUAGUGUGUAGUGAGCGCUUGCCAGAACCCCAAACUUUUAUAUGAUUGACCUCGGAUCAGGUAGGGAUUCCCGCUGAACUUAAGCAUAUCAAUAAGCGGAGGA
rnacentral:misc_RNA from 1 species